ensembl:lncRNA
UCCAGGAUUCCUUGGACCCAGCAUGCGUACUCUGGGUCUCUGAGAACUGGAACACAAUGGAAAAGAACAAUAAGCCCCUUGGGGGGCCAGGAGGCCUGGCUGUGAUCCUGGGGAGCUUGGUGUCUCUUGCAGCUGCUGUGGCCCUCUUCCUAUUCUACCGACUCCAGCCCAAGAGUCAGCCAGACAUGGACAGCGACCUAUCAGACCCACCCACUUCCCACAAGGCUUCCCCACUUCCCGACCGGAACGAAGAAAUGAAGAACCACGUGUCAACAAAAGAUAUCCAGCUUUCAGACCUUGAGGAAACAGACCUUCACUAUGCAGAGUUGGAUACGAUUGUCCUGGAGUCCUCGCCUGGAACCAGGACCCCUGGAGAACUGGUGGAGUAUGCCAUCAUCCAGUCACACUCAGGCUAACACAUGUCCCUGUAGGCCUCCCCCCUCAGACUCUGGCCAACAGGAUUUUGGGAUGAGCCCGCCUGUCAUCCUGGUCUCCUGGGAAAAGCUGAGCUGCUUAUGAAGGCCAACCUCUGGGACGUAUUCCCCACCUGUCUCCCUUCUUAGACCACCUUCUGGCUAAACCUUCACAGCUUUUCUGUUUUCUCCCGGCCCCAGCAUCUCAGGUUCCUCAUAUUUGUCUUAAGGAAUGAUCUAUCUGGAACAAACUCAGCACUCCCCCCUCCCACUCCCACCAAGUGGCUUUCAUGUUGCUUCCAUUCACCUUUCUCAGCACUCCCAGCCUCAGUGCUUCCCCGGUCCCUCAGGACAUGUCUCUGUUCCUGUCUCACCUCCUGAAGGAGUUUCCCCUCAGACUCCCCUCUCUUCCCCUGUGGACACAUGAGAUUAGAAGAGUGUGUAAUUAGGUGAGCAUGUUUGUGAAAGUCUGUAGGUGGGUGUGGAUAGCUGUGGGUGAGAGCAGGUUUGAGUGAGCCCCCUAUCCCCUGAAGCACCACAGGUGAGAGUCUGAACUGUCUCCCCCCCUCACCUCCCUGCUGACCCCCAUCUCCGCCAGAAGCCUCUGCCUGGCCCUCUGGGUCUGACCAUCAGAAUACAACCGUGGCAAAGGGAGCUGAUCUGGGUCACCAGGACGGUCCUUUCUGGCCUGGGAAGCAGAGCAAGGGAGAGGACUGGACCUCGGACCUCUGGAUCAGUCAUUACCGGGAGUGAACAGACAAGAAUCGUUUCUUCCUGGGAAGGAAUUGCCUCUGGACCGGCAGCUUUCACUGGGUGGGCCGGGCCGCUGGUGCUGGGGACCAGAUUCAGCCUGCACAGGAGCUGUGAUCUCUGCCCAUUUCUCAAAGCCAAGGUCUGUUAACUGGAUUCCAGCUGUACUCAGCAGGGAGCCCCAGGUGUUCCUGCAGGUUCUCUGGGGGUAAAUGCUCCAUUUCCUCCUCAGAUGAGGAAGCCCCGGACAGAGAAGCAGGGAUAGCUCCAGCCGUGGCACCCAGGCUUUUGCUGCUGUCAGGCCUAUUGAAUGGGAUGUCUCUCCUCUCUGAGGGCACCCGGCUUCUGAGCAUCCCUAAUCCACAGACCAGCCCUUGACACGUCUCAGAGGAUCACAGAAAAAGCCAAAGGGACCCAGAAAAGCUAGAGGCUUCCACUCCCACCACUCCUCCCUGCCCCCCUGCCAUCCAGAGCCCUCACUCACACUACCUCAGCUCUGCCUCCAGGAAGUGGCAGACUCUCUCCGGGGCCCCCAGUGUAAACCAGCCCGGAGAGGGUCAGAGCCCCAGCCCAGGGAGUCUGGCACCUCUGCCCCCUCUGCACAAAAGACAAAGCACAAGGCAGAAUGGUGCUGACGUGGGGGAGAAGGGAGACCCAAGUCCUAGGCUUGGCUCUGCCGCUAAUGGCUGUGUGACUUUGGACACCUCAUUUUGCUCCCAAGUCCUCAGUCUCCUCCUCUGUAGAAUGGGGGUGUUGGCCUUAGAGCUCAUUUGAUGAUAUUCGAAGUCAGAAAGACGUAGUGACAUCCAACAGUGACAGAGAGGGUGCUCUCAGCUAGGAAGGUCUCUCACUCUCUGGAGGGGAGCCCUCCACAGUGCAGGUGGAUUGUUAUUUCCAGGAUGGCUUAGGGGAGACUGGGGACGCAUGGUCCACUCCAGCACGGAGCCAAGUCUCAGAGGCCAGUGAACCGAAGCAGAGACUUUGGCUACAAGGGACAACAGAGGGGCUCAGAGAGUUCUGCAGGAGCUGGGGUAGAGGUGAACACCCCCUCUCCCACACAGACACCUAGAACCUGUCCCCACCUUCCUCCAGUCCAUAGCCUUGCCAUCCCAUUGAUCAGAUUUCCAUCCUAAUAUCUGUCUAGCAAAUUGUAGUGGAAAGGGGCCUUGUCCUUCACACAAGAUGCUCAAAAAAGAGGGACAUUACCUCUAGCAGUCUCCCUCUAGCCUCCCAUCAAAGAUACACCUGUGAGCAAAACCCUUGAAAAGAGAGAUUUACACACGUGAACCCCUGAAACUGGGGUCCUCUGUCACAUACAGUAGGAACACACGAAAAGAGAUGAUCUCAGGAGCCUGCAAGCGUCAGUAGGAUAAAGUCUGCCGGCUAACUGUUUUCAUUAAUGUUACUAAUAGACCCAGGGAAUAUCACAGAUGCGGUAUGUCGCUAGGGUUCAGCAAGACCUUUGAUGAGGUUUUUCACCAUAUCAUUUUGGAAAACAGAAAAAUGUGGACUAGACAAUAGGACCUUUGUAGGGAUUGGCAACUGGUCGAAGGACCAGACUAAAAAGGUGAGUAAUAGAUUGAUGUCAGUCUAGAAGAGCUCUGACUCCGGCCCCAUCUCGCUCAACAUUUUUUUUUAUUUAUUUAUUAACAUUUUUAAUUGGGAAUUUUUAUGAAGAAACUCACAAGGAGGAUAUCUAGAAUGCUUAUCAAGUUUCUCUGUGACCAAGUUAGGAGAAAUAGCUCCUGUACUGAUUCGAUUCAAUAAAUGUUUAUUGAGUACUUACAAUUUGACUCUCCCUCGGUAAAGCCAACUCUGCCAAAACCUUGCUCCAUUGGUGAGUCUUCUGGGAAGCAGAGGAGACCAAAAAACUAGAUGGUAAAGAAAAGAUUGUAUUUUGCACAUGCAUAAAGGAGAUGCUAAAUUGCAUAGGGCUCUGAAUGGUAAGCAAAGAAGUUGAACUUUCAUAUUGAGAAAGUCACUCCCUUCUCUCUACCUUCUUUACUUCAUUGGUAAAGUUGGUAGGCAGUCACUUAAGAGUUCUGAGAAAAGAUAAUUCUGGGAGCAGGAAGAUUUAAUAAGGGAUGAGUGCAAACUGCAGAAAAAUACAUUAAACAAGGUAUCUACUUGGAGAAUGGCUGUAGAAUUAAAGAGGAAAGGAUGGGAAGGAUGAGAAGGAUGAUAGGGAUGUGAAAUUGAAAGGAUCUGGUAAUUCUUUGGUUAUGAAAGGUUAAAGAGAAAGAAUGGUCAGAGGUAAUGCCAAAGUUUCAAUAGAAGGAGAUUGAGUGAAUGGUGGGCUGCCAUAAAGCAUGUUCCUCAGAUUAGGGAGCUUCAAGGUAUGAACAUGCUAAUGUCUGGCUGAAGUGGGAAAAAGAAAGAAGACACUGGGCCUAAGAAGGUUAAGGAACAGCAUGAUUAGGGUGUUAACAGUGAUCAUCAGUAAGAAUAUUAAGUUUUCAGAAAAUGAUAGGUGGUCAUUUGAGCAAGCAAAGAAUGAACUCAAGAUUGGUAGAUAAUUGCAAUAAGGUUAGAGAGAAGGUAAUAUAAAAUAGAUUACAUGGGCUUUGAAAGAAUAACUGCUAUUGAGACACGAUGGUAUAUCAUGAUGACUCAUGAUACUGAUUAGGAAUUAGAACCAGAGAAAAAUGCCCUUCACAGGGAAAGAUGGAAGUCUGAAGGAAGGCAUCUGAGUGAGAAUCAGAGACAAAUCAGGAAACUAGGUUUCUGUGGAACAUAAAAUCCAAGGGGCUCAAGAAUAGCAGACUGUUAGGAUGGCAAGGGAUUUCUAGGGCAAGUGAGGAAAGGGGGAAACAGAGCCAGGAAAGUCAGUACCAGUUCAGAAGAAGGGAUAUGAGGAAUGUAAGUGAGCCAACUGUAUAUCUGACUCAACAUAUCUCCCUAAAGCUUUGCCCUUUAAUGACAGAUACCUGUUUUCCAAAUUAUCUGGCCCUAAAGUUUUAAAUGGAAUGUGAAAUGCUGGUGUUUCAGGGAAUGGUGCAUGAGAGAUCUCAUUCCACAGUGCCAUGAAGCUCAAUUUGAUGGCAGCUGUGAGGCUUCUGAAUGGAAAAGAUAACUGUUAGGUGAUAAGCUGUUGAAAGUCAAAAAAGAUUUUGACAAAUUGGAACAAUGGACCAUAUUUAAUAAAAAUGAAAUUUAACUGAAA